rnacentral:tRNA from 1 species
UCGCCGUGGCGCCCGGGCUGACGGCGUUGAUGCGGACGCCGUCGGCGAUGUGGUCGAUUGCGGCGCCCCGGGUCAGCACCGAGACGGCGGCC